rnacentral:rRNA from 1 species
GACGAACGCUGGCGGCGUGCUUAACACAUGCAAGUCGAACGGAAAGGCCCUGCUUUUGUGGGGUGCUCGAGUGGCGAACGGGUGAGUAACACGUGAGUAACAUGCCCUUGACUUUGGGAUAACUUCAGGAAACUGGGGCUAAUACCGGAUAGGAGCUCCUGCUGCAUGGGGGGGGUUGGAAAGUUUCGGCGGUUGUGGCUGGACUCGCGGCUUAUCAGCUUGUUGGUGGGGUAGUGGAUUCCGAAGGCUGUGACGGGUAGCCCGCCUGGGAGGGUGGCCGGGGACCUGGGUCCUGCGGGACGGCCCAGACUCGUACGGGACGCAGCGGUCGAGAACAUUGCACAAUGGGCGGAAGCGUGAGGCAGCGACCCCGCGAUCGUGAUGACGGCCUUCGGGUUGUAAACCGCUUUCGCCUGUGACGAAGCGGGAGUGACGGUAAUGGGUAAAGAAGCACCGGCUAACUACGUG